rnacentral:lncRNA from 10 species
UGGAGAUUCAAUCUGUUGAGUCCAUCAUAAGACGGCUACACAAAUGAACACCAUGCAGCUAUAAAAUGAUGAUACGAAGUGUUGCUUGUCAACAAGGAAAUACAUUCAUAUGAAAUUUUUCCAUGCAAAAAGACGGUUACAAAACAGUGGGAAAUCUGGACAGAGAGACAGACAUGCAUAGAAGGAAGACACAGAGAGAAGAUCCACAUGAGUGUUGCCAUGCAUGAAGAUCCACAGAGAGAAGGUGAUCACCUGCAGGCCAAGGAGAGAGGUCUGGAGCAGAUCCUCCCCUCAUUGCCCUCAGGAGGAGCCAACCCUGCUGGCACCUUGAUUUUGAACUUCUAGCCUCCAGAACUGUGACAUAAUAUAUUAUUGUCAUUAAGCCACUCAGUUUGCAACACUUUGCUUCAGUAAAC